AAGAGACAGCAGCCGCCGCGGUAAUACGAAGGGUGCAAGCGUUACUCGGAAUUACUGGGCGUAAAGCGUGCGUAGGUGGUGGUUUAAGUCCGUUGUGAAAGCCCUGGGCUCAACCUGGGAAUUGCAGUGGAUACUGGGUCACUAGAGUGUGGUAGAGGAUAGUGGAAUUUCCGGUGUAGCAGUGAAAUGCGUAGAGAUCGGAAGGAACAUCUGUGGCGAAGGCGACUAUCUGGGCCAACACUGACACUGAGGCACGAAAGCGUGGGGAGCAAACAGGAUUAGAUACCCGCGUAGUCCCUGUCUCUUAUAC
rnacentral:rRNA from 1 species